AUGGCUCCAGUGAACACCAUCCUUCUCUCUCAUACAUCAGAAGAUAUUUGGAUGGAGAUUCCGGAACCCACUCAUCUGACAGAAAAUGGCUCCUGCGAACACCAGCCUCCGCACGUACUUCAGACGAUAUUUGGACGGAGGAUCCGGAAGCCACUCAUCCGACAGGAAACCACCCAGAAUCCCCCAGAGAGAGAGAGAGCGAGAGUCCCACAACCACAAAUGUACGGGAAAUGAGACGCCGUGUGAGAUGUGCUAACCAGAGGAACGGUGUGUGACCCGUCUGAUGCUGAGGGUCUGUCAACCAAUUAUCUCAUUAACAUCGCCAUAUGAGGAGCAGAAAGCCAGACCGCAGGAGAACAGGCACCAUGAGGUCCAAUGCUGUUUCUUGGAAACUUCAUCUGACCCGACUAGAGCUGAACUGGAGCCCUGAGGUCACUCCUGAUCAGCCAGACAUGACUUUAAGCCUGAUCAUCUAUCUGUUCUCCGCCUCUGUCUCUUAGUGACCGAGAGAUGGACCUCCUUCACUGCAGGGGGUGAGAGGCUGUAUUUCAGAGAGGGGAUUCCUGAAUCUCCAGGAGUGCAGCUCAGGUCUGACGCUACCACCUGACCCCCGCUGGGGACAACACAAAUCGCAUCACAGCUCUGCAAACGCUACGGCUGUCCGGCUUUGAUGUCACCAGCACACUGAAGCAGAAAGAGAUUUAUCCUGAGGGGAAUGCAGUGUGGUUGCUCUAUUACGGCCGCAAUGUGAUGUGUCUGUAACUUUGAGUUCUUCACUGUGGUAAUUGUGACUGCCUACAUGAGCAAGAGGAAGAACUUUGCACAACUUUAUCAGGUUGCUGUGCGGUUGCUAUGAUGUUUUGAGUCAGUUUCAUCAAGUUGCUAUGUAGUUGCUCAGGUGUUCUAAAUGACUUUUAUCAGGUUGCU